UUACGGUCAUAUUGCGUUGAAACACCGGACCCCGUAAGAUUACCGAAGUUAAAGAACGUCGAUCCUGAUCAGUACCUAGAUAGGUAACCACUUGGGAGUACCAGGUGCUGGAAG